GGGCCGCUAGCUCAACUGGCAGAGCAACUGACUCUUAAUCAGUAGGUUCGGGGUUCGAGUCCCCGGCGGCUCA
rnacentral:tRNA from 1 species